rnacentral:misc_RNA from 1 species
CCGAGCGAGGGCCUCGCGCCCGACCUCCAACCCUUUGAAGUGACCAACUCUGUUGCCUUGGGGGCGACCCGGCCCCCGUGCCGGGGCCCCCAACGGACCACACAAACCCUGCGUUUUCGCGUCGGAGUUUAAAGGAAAUCAAUUA